AGAGCGAACGCUGGCGGCAGGCCUAACACAUGCAAGUCGAGCGCCCGUAGCAAUACGGGAGCGGCAGACGGGAUAGUAACACGUGGGAACGCGCCCUUAGGUUCGGAAUAACUCAGGGAAACUUGAGCUAAUACCGGAUACGCCCUUACGGGGAAAGAUUUAUUGCCGAAGGAACGGCCCGCGUCCGAUUAGCUAGUUGGUGAGGUAAUGGCUCACCAAGGCGACGAUCGGUAGCUGGUCUGAGAGGAUGACCAGCAUCACUGGGACUGAGACACGGCCCAGACUCCUACGGGAGGCAGCAGUGGGGAAUAUUGGACAAUGGGCGCAAGCCUGAUCCAGCCAUGCCGCGUGGAUGAUGAAGGCCUUAGGGUUGUAAAGUCCUUUUAACGGGGAAGAUAAUGACGGUACCCGUAGAAUAAGCCCCGGCUAACUUCGUGCCAGCAGCCGC
rnacentral:rRNA from 1 species